CAGCAGCCGCCACGGUAAUACGAAGGGUGCAAGCGUUAAUCGGAAUUACUGGGCGUAAAGCGUGCGUAGGCGGUGAGUUAAGUCUGCUGUGAAAUCCCCGGGCUCAACCUGGGAAUUGCAGUGGAUACUGGGUCACUAGAGUGUGGUAGAGGAUAGUGGAAUUUCCGGUGUAGCAGUGAAAUGCGUAGAGAUCGGAAGGAACAUCUGUGGCGAAGGCGACUAUCUGGGCCAACACUGACACUGAGGCACGAAAGCGUGGGGAGCAAACAGGAUUAGAUACCCCCGUAGUCCCUGUCUCUUAUAC
rnacentral:rRNA from 1 species